AGGCACUAGUCUAAAUACAGAGCCAUUAGCAGUUAUAAAGGGCCAUGGUUAAUGGAUUGAGCAGACCAUGAUAAUCCAACAGGGUGGGGCUUCCCAGGUGGCGCUAGGGGUAAAAAACACACCUGCUGAUGCAGCAGAUGUAAGAAAUGCUGGUUCGAUCCCUGCGGUGAGAAGAUCCCCUAGAGAAGGAAACAGCAACCCACUCCAGUAUUCUUGCCUGGGAAAUUCCACGAAUAGAGGAGCCUGGUGGGCUACAGUCCAUGGGAUCACAAAGAGCUGGACAUGGCUGAAGCGACUUAGCAUGCAUGCAUUCAAGAAGGUUGGGAGAUGCCCUGAGGGAAGUCAAGAACUUAUAUGCAGGUGUCCUCCAAGGCAUUAAGGCAUGUUUCCCAAGAACAUUGCCCAGUUCAAUUCCCGUGUGAUGGGUCUGCUUCCUGGGAAACUUAACCUGCAGUAGUGGCAGGGGUGGUCCAAGAAAAUAGAUGCUCAUGAGGGAUUCUGAAGUUGCCAGCCAUCUCGAAGUGAGGACCCUGAUCAUCAGAAGGAGGAGGGCUGCUCUACAUAAUGCAACAGAGAAGAAGGAAAAGAGAUACAAUGGAAUCUUGGAAGAACUCUUUUCAGAAUUUAUAUGAAGUGGAUCUGAGUAGUGCAAAUGGUGAGCCAUAGUGAAAGAUCUGAUCUGCCACUCUGUCCACUAAAGACUGAAGUACAUUCCUCCAGCUACUGAUGGCACCAUUGGUUGACAGUCAUCAGAAAUUAUCAUUAGCUGGAGAGUUCUGCCAUGCACAAAUUUCCCAUGCUUCUUUCCUCAGGGCAGCUCAAAUCUGAUAACUGAUCAAUGUAUAGUAUAAAGACCCAAAUCCCUCACCUUAUCCCAGGACAACAUUAAAGGGCAUCAAGCUUCAGGAUCCCUAAAGGCUUGGCCUAGUCUUUGCUGAGAUUACAUCACAGUGCAAGUUCUUCCCAUGUCCAAUUCUGUUUCCUUCUCUUCCUUUCCAUGAUGUCCAUCCUGAGAGUGAAAUUCACUCAGUCGUGUCUGACUGUUUGUGACCCCAUGGACUAUACAGUCCAUGGAAUUCUCCAGGACAGAAUAUUGAAGUGUAGCCAUUCCUUUCUCCAGGGGAUCUUCCCAAUCCAGGGAUUGAACCCAGGUCUCCCAUGUGGCAGGCAGAUUCUUUACUAGCUGAUCCACAAGGGAAGCCCAAUCCUAAGAGUGCUCCCUAUAAAAAUUUCUCCACACUAAUAUCCAACCCAGAGUUUGCUUCCUAAGAAAUCCACCCUACUACAAAAACAUCAUCGGGACAGCUCAUAGAAUUUGAAUAUGGACUCUUGAUUAGAUAAAGGGAUUGUACCAGUGUUAAAUUUCCCAAUUUUUAAAAAUGGUUUUAAUUGUUUUUUAAUUGUUGUUCUUCAAUACCUAAAUCGUGUCCAACUCUUUGCAACCCCAUGGACUGCAGCAAGCCAGGCUUCCUGGUCCUUCACUGUCUCCCGCAGUUUGCUCAAAUUCAUGUCCAUUGAGUCAGUGAUGCCAUCCAAUCAUUUCAUCCUGUCACCUCCCUUUGUCCUCAAUCUUUCCCAGCAUCAGGGUCUUUUCC
ensembl:lncRNA